rnacentral:tRNA from 1 species
GCCGGGGUGGCGAAAUGGUAAACGCCGCGGACUUAAAAUCCGCUGUCGCAAACGCGGCCUACGGGUUCGAGUCCCGUCCCCGGUACAA